UUCAACGCGAAUAAUCUCUGGAAGUAACUUUUGGUGACGUAAACUCACGAAGAAUUCUUAAAAGAAUUCGUAUGCUCAAGAGCAUUCGUAUCUUGCUGAUGUAUUUAUACCGUUCUCCUGUAACUUUAAGGUACGGCAGUCGUUUCUCAUAAUAUACAAGACAGUGGUAUUCCUUCGGCUGUCCGUAAGUACGAGCAACGGCGGAAUCGCCCAGGAGAUUCACAGGCGGAAGAGAGGGUCUCUAGUACUCGUGUUAACGUUCGUACUUACAUCUUGACGAUGUUUUAUGAUUCUAAACGACACGUAUAUCAUUCGCGGAUGAAUGUGCCGUUUGCACGUUAUUCCGCGCGAAAUUUAUCACCAUCAUGGAAAGGAGCCGCGCAUAGAGAUGAACAGAGAGAGAGAUAGAGAGUGAGAGAGAAGAGGUAAGCACUGAGUACAGGCACGAGGUGUACCAGUCCUUUUGUGUUUCUUCUGAGAUCAAAUUGAGAUUGAAUCGCGAGAACAAGACUCGCACAGUCACUAGAGGGAAGUACCAAAGGAAAGCACCCGUGUAUUGAAGAAAGAAAGAAAGAGAAAAUAGAAUUCCACAACGGUAAUAGGCAGGACGUUCGACUCUGCUCUCGUAGAAGAGCCACCACGUGUAUGGAUGAUCGAGAACGUCUGUCAGUUUAAAAAAAAAGACAUACGAGGUAAAUGAAAAUAAAUAAAUGGAGGACGAGCUGGAACCGCAAGUUUCUGAGUCUGGAGGAUCCAGAAAGACUCGAAUUAACGCCUAAUGCCCUAUUGUCCGUAGGAAGACAUGGCGGAUCAAUGAAUACAAAAAUGAGAGAGGAGUCGCUCCUGGAAAAAGAUCAAGAAACUUUAUCUUUUCAAAUUACAGCGCACAUGAGCCUCGCGUUUCCAUUCAAUAUUCAUACAGUCGGAGUGUUAGGCACGCUAUACGUCACGCCAUGCCUGGCACUGUCUACCAACUCUUAAUCACUGAAUUAUUAGAAUCACCAAAAAAUCACUAGAAUCAGUCUAGUGACUUUUUGCUUGGUUUUACCUAAAUUUUUUGUUCUUCCUUUCUUGUGGCUUAGAGAACGACGUGUUCGUUGCGAACGCGAACGAAUCACUGUAACGUGUGGAAGUAACAAUACCUUUUCUUUGUUUCGUUUUUUCUCUCUCGCUUUCUCAAUAGUCUCUAAUAACAUAUCAUUCAAAUCAAAUCAUUACGUCAUACAAUAAAACUGUCCGAUUAUUUACAAUGUCUAUUCACUAUUGCCAUAACUAUUGUACAUUGACUACACAAUAAUAAAUGACUGUCAAAACCCCA